AACAGUCUCCUCUUUAUAAAAGUUUUUCUGGUUUGAAACUCACUCAGAAUCCAAAUACACAACCCUGAGUGUAAACAUUUUUCUUCUAUUUUAUUAAGAAUAUGUUUAUCAGUUUAGUUUUACAGCACAAAAUUUAAGUUUCAUGUCAUGAUAUUAAUUUUUCUUUUACUGGUGUCUGUGUGAGGUAACAGAUGGCGCCCUUCUUCUCUCUGUGCCAAUUCACGACAAUUUUUCUUUUGGUAAACUUGUCCUUUAUCAUACAGAAUAUCAUUUCUGAAAGCUAAAAUACUCCAUUUCUUUUGUUUAAAGAUAACAUCACUUCUUAGCCACCAUUUCUUCUAAACUCAGAAACAUGCCUCGUAAGCAUCAGUCAGUGACAAGUUGUCAGAGAUCUGAAAAUCACUAUUUUUGUCAUAGAGCUGGGGGGGCUGGAGCAGGGGAGUGCACCUACUGUUUCUGGUAUUGAAAAAUAAUCUGUUAUUAGAGAGAUAUGAUUUACAAGUUGAAGCCUAUGCCUUGAGUGUAACACAGGUCAGUUUCUGUAUCGCUCUUUUGUUGUUCCAGUUAAAAUUUUGAUUUAUGCCUGUCAAGAAAAUAACUAUUGUAUGGUACCUGUAUAGUAGAUGAAUCUAUCAAUAGGAGGUGUAGUGUUACACAAUUAUCAAGCAAAAAUGUCAAAAUUUUUGUCGUAUCCUAAAAUGUUGUAUCCUAAGAGUAUUAGUGAAAUGAGAGAGAUCUUCCAACAAAUCUCAGUUGCUGGGUUAAUUAGUAGGUUUUGAAUUUCCAUUGUAAUUGAUCCUUACGUAGGCAUAAGUGUAUUGUGCUUCCAGGGCCCUAUCUUGAUGUGCUUUUCUACCUUUUGAUGGUGGACAGAAUCACCAAGUACAAUAAGUUGCACUCUUUUCAAGAGGAAAGCUGGGGGCUGCCAUUUUUGAAAUGUGGCCUUUCCUCUGUCAGAGCUCUAUAAUAUUAGCUUGAAUAGAAAAACAGAACAUCCCUUGUAUACAUUUUCAUAAUGGCUUUCAAAUUCUACAACUUUUCAAGGUGAAAUCAUGGCAUUGUAAGCCCUGUGUUUCUUUUAUCUAAAUGUUAGGAGGACUUUGGAAGUGCACGUUUGAAGGAUUAUUUGUUCAUGUGUGUCUCAUGGCAAAUGGUGAAAAGGGGCAUCUAGUCAGAAACGCUUGCUUUUGUUCAGUCACUACCAGUCUGUUGUUAGCAGUGUGUUUUAUAUUGGGUAUGUUCUCUAUUUUCUGUAUGUUCUAUAUUUAUGUAAAAAUUCAAAACUAAAUAUACUGGGGAGAAAAUUACUGAAUUGUUUUGUAGCAGUCAUGCAGCUAAAGAAAGUAAAUACAAUGUGAGAUUUUUUCCCCUAGUAAUUCUUAGAAGUAUUAACUUCAGAAUCUCUCUGAAGUAUAUUUACUGUUUGCUUGCAUUUCUGUUUUAAUUAGUGUGAGGAACAUAACAAGUUUGGCAAAGCUGAAAGCUGCAGUACCUCAUACUGCUUCAGCAACUUACUGGGGUUUUAAUUUAUCUCAAGCCCUGGACUGAUCAGCAGGGCCCCCAUUUAUGACAGUAGAUUUCUAUUCAAAUAUUCCAGGAAUUCAGAACACCUACAAACUGGCUCGGGAAUAAUACUGACUUCACACAUUUUCUUAUGAGCAGGUAAAUAGGGAUUUACUGUGUAAGACAAAAUUGGAUAAUCCAUGUCUGUGCAUUAAACUUUUCAGGUGAACACAGAAUAUUCAUUCUAUUUAUUGUAGAGAACACUUUGCACCAUUUAAAAAAUCUAAUUGUGUGCUAAAUGUGCAUACUGAAUUUCAGUCUCAUUGACUUUACUUCCACAGCUUUCUGUGUAUGGUGCUGUUUCCUGGAAAUCAGAGGGGCUAUUCAUCACUGCAACUUGUGCCUAAGUGGUCUCAGAAUCAAGAGUUAAGCAAAUGCCUUCAUGUUAAAGGUUGGAUGUGAGUAGUCUAGGUGGGAGAGGAGCUCAAGCAAUCAGCACGUGGUGGUAGGGCUGGCAUGGAAUUGGUACUGCUCUUGCCUUGGGUCAUCAGUGUUUUUUUUUUCUCAUUGUUACAACUUGCCUUUGAUGUCAGUUGUACUUAAGUAAAAUACACAGUUUGAUGCUAUUUUUGCUGUAUAAAGCCCCUUCAAACACACUCAAAAAUAAAGGAGAGAGGGAGGAUUG
rnacentral:lncRNA from 7 species